rnacentral:rRNA from 1 species
CAGUAGCCGCGGGAAUACGUAGGUCCCGAGCGUUGUCCGGAUUUAUUGGGCGUAAAGCGAGCGCAGGCGGUUAGAUAAGUCUGAAGUUAAAGGCUGUGGCUUAACCAUAGUACGCUUUGGAAACUGUUUAACUUGAGUGCAAGAGGGGAGAGUGGAAUUCCAUGUGUAACGGUGAAGUGCGUAGAUAUAUGGAGGAACACCGGUGGCGAAAGCGGCUCUCUGGCUUGUAACUGACGCUGAGGCUCGAAAGCGUGGGGAGCAAACAGGAUUAGAUACCCGGGUAGUCCCUGUCUCUUAUACA